rnacentral:rRNA from 1 species
AUUGAACGCUGGCGGCAUGCUUUACACAUGCAAGUCGAACGGUAACAGGUUAAGCUGACGAGUGGCGAACGGGUGAGUAAUGCAUCGGAACGUGCCCGGUCGUGGGGGAUAACGCAGCGAAAGCUGCGCUAAUACCGCAUACGAUCUGAGGAUGAAAGCGGGGGACCGGAAGGCCUCGCGCGAUCGGAGCGGCCGAUGUCAGAUUAGGUAGUUGGUGGGGUAAAGGCUCACCAAGACAACGAUCUGUAGCUGGUCUGAGAGGACGACCAGCCACACUGGGACUGAGACACGGCCCAGACUCCUACGGGAGGCAGCAGUGGGGAAUAUUGGACAAUGGGCGAAAGCCUGAUCCAGCAAUGCCGCGUGCAGGAAGAAGGCCUUCGGGUUGUAAACUGCUUUUGUACGGAGCGAAAAGGUCUCCUCUAAUACAGGGGGCUCAUGACGGUACCGUAAGAAUAAGCACCGGCUAACUACGUGCCAGCCGCCGCGGUAA